UACGUAGGUGGCAAGCGUUGUCCGGAAUUAUUGGGCGUAAAGCGCGCGCAGGCGGUCCUUUAAGUCUGAUGUGAAAGCCCACGGCUCAACCGUGGAGGGUCAUUGGAAACUGGAGGACUUGAGUACAGAAGAGGAAAGUGGAAUUCCACGUGUAGCGGUGAAAUGCGUAGAGAUGUGGAGGAACACCGGUGGCGAAGGCGGCCUCCUGGACUGCCCCUGACACUCAGACGCGAAAGCUAGGGGAGCGAACGGG
rnacentral:rRNA from 1 species